AUUGAACGCUGGCGGCAUGCUUUACACAUGCAAGUCGAACGGCAGCGGGGAGGAGCUUGCUUCUCUGCCGGCGAGUGGCGAACGGGUGAGUAAUACAUCGGAACGUGUCGAGAAGAGGGGGAUAACCACCCGAAAGGGUGGCUAAUACCGCAUAAAUUCUGAGGAAGAAAGCUGGGGACCUAGGAAUAGGCCUAGCGCUUUUUGAGCGGCCGAUGUCGGAUUAGCUAGUUGGUGAGGUAAAGGCUCACCAAGGCGAAGAUCUGUAGCGGGUCUGAGAGGAUGAUCCGCCACCCUGGGACUGAGACACGGCCCAGACUCCUACGGGAGGCAGCAGUGGGGAAUUUUGGACAAUGGGGGCAACCCUGAUCCAGCCAUACCGCGUGUAUGAAGAAGGCCUUAGGGUUGUAAAGUACUUUUGUUAGGGAAGAAAAGUCAGCUGUGAAUAAUGGCUGAUACUGACGGUACCUAAAGAAUAAGCACCGGCUAACUACGUG
rnacentral:rRNA from 1 species